UCGACUGUUUAUCAAAAACAUAUUUAAUAGUACUUAUUAUUAAUGAUAUCUGCUCAAUGAAAUUUAAAUAGCCGCAGUUCAUACUGUGCUAAGGUAGCAUAAUCAUUUGUCUUUUAAUUGAAGACUAGAAUGAAAGAUAUUACAUUUAAAUUAAUUUACUUCAAUUUAAUUUCCAAUUUAUUUUAAAUGUAAAAAAACAUUUAUUUUUAAGAAAGACGACAAGACCCUAUUGAACUUCACUAAAGUUUAACUGGGGCAGUUAAUUAAUUAUAAUUUUAGUUAUAUUAAAUAUAAAAAUGACCCAAUCCAAUUGAUCAAUUGAUCAAGUUACCAUAGGGAUAACAGCGUUAUAUUUUUCUUUAGAUCUUAUAUAAAUAAAUGAUUACGACCUCGAUGUUGAAUUAAUUAUUCUAAUAAAUGCACCAAUUUAAAAAGAAAGUCUGUUCGACUUUUAAAUAAUUACAUGAUUUGAGUUCAGACCGGUGUAAACCAGGUCGGUUUCUAUC
rnacentral:rRNA from 1 species